rnacentral:rRNA from 1 species
ACGAACGCUGGCGGCGUGCUUAACACAUGCCAGUCGAACGGAAAGGCCCUGCUUUUGUGGGGUGCUCGAGUGGCGAACGGGUGAGUAACACGUGAGUAACCUGCCCUUGACUUUGGGAUAACUUCAGGAAACUGGGGCUAAUACCGGAUAGGAGCUCCUGCUGCAUGGUGGGGGUUGGAAAGUUUCGGCGGUUGGGGAUGGACUCGCGGCUUAUCAGCUUGUUGGUGGGGUAGUGGCUUACCAAGGCUUUGACGGGUAGCCGGCCUGAGAGGGUGACCGGCCACAUUGGUACUGAGAUACGGCCCAGACUCCUACGGGAGGCAGCAGUGGGGAAUAUUGCACAAUGGGCGGAAGCCUGAUGCAGCAACGCCGCGUGCGGGAUGACGGCCUUCGGGUUGUAAACCGCUUUCGCCUGUGACGAAGCGUGAGUGACGGUAAUGGGUAAAGAAGCACCGGCUAACUACGUG